rnacentral:rRNA from 1 species
UACGUAGGGGCCUAGCGUUGUCCGGAAUUAUUGGGCGUAAAGAGCUCGUAGGCGGUUCGGCAAGUCGGAUGUGAAAUCUCCACGCUUAACGUGGAGGGGCCAUUCGAAACUGCUGUGACUCGAGUCCGGUAGGGGAGCGUGGAAUUCCUGGUGUAGCGGUGAAAUGCGCAGAUAUCAGGAGGAACACCAGCGGCGAAGGCGGCGCUCUGGGCCGGUACUGACACUGAGGAGCGAAAGCGUGGGUAGCAAACAGG